rnacentral:rRNA from 1 species
AGAUUUUGAUCCUGGCUCAGAUUGAACGCUGGCGGCAUGCCUUACACAUGCAAGUCGAACGGCAGCAUGAUCUAGCUUGCUAGAUUGAUGGCGAGUGGCGAACGGGUGAGUAAUACAUCGGAACGUGCCCUGUAGUGGGGGAUAACUAGUCGAAAGAUUAGCUAAUACCGCAUACGACCUGAGGGUGAAAGUGGGGGACCGCAAGGCCUCAUGCUAUAGGAGCGGCCGAUGUCUGAUUAGCUAGUUGGUGGGGUAAAGGCCCACCAAGGCGACGAUCAGUAGCUGGUCUGAGAGGACGAUCAGCCACACUGGGACUGAGACACGGCCCAGACUCCUACGGGAGGCAGCAGUGGGGAAUUUUGGACAAUGGGCGAAAGCCUGAUCCAGCAAUGCCGCGUGUGUGAAGAAGGCCUUCGGGUUGUAAAGCACUUUUGUCCGGAAAGAAAUGGCUCUGGUUAAUACCUGGGGUCGAUGACGGUACCGGAAGAAUAAGGACCGGCUAACUACGUGCCAGCAGCCGCGGUAAUACGUAGGGUCCAAGCGUUAAUCGGAAUUACUGGGCGUAAAGCGUGCGCAGGCGGUUGUGCAAGACCGAUGUGAAAUCCCCGAGCUUAACUUGGGAAUUGCAUUGGUGACUGCACGGCUAGAGUGUGUCAGAGGGGGGUAGAAUUCCACGUGUAGCAGUGAAAUGCGUAGAGAUGUGGAGGAAUACCGAUGGCGAAGGCAGCCCCUGGGAUAACACUGACGCUCAUGCACGAAAGCGUGGGGAGCAAACAGGAUUAGAUCCCUGGUAGUCACGCCCUAAACGAUGUCAACUAGUUGGUGGGGAUUCAUUUCCUUAGUAACGUAGCUAACGCGUGAAGUUGACCGCCUGGGGAGUCCGUCGCAAGAUUAAAACUCAAAGGAAUUGCCGGGGACCCGCACAAGCCGNGGAUGAUGUGGAUUAAUUCGAUGCAACGCGAAAAACCUUACCUACCCUUGACAUGCCACUAUUUCCGCAACGAGCGCAACCCUUGUCUCUAGUUGCUACGAAAGGGCACUCUAGAGAGACUGCCGGUGACAAACCGGAGGAAGGUGGGGAUGACCGUCAAGUCCUCAUGGCCCUUAUGGGUAGGGCUUCACACGUCAUACAAUGGUGCAUACAGAGGGUUGCCAAGCCGCGAGGUGGAGCUAAUCCCAGAAAAUGCAUCGUAGUCCGGAUCGUAGUCUGCAACUCGACUACGUGAAGCUGGAAUCGCUAGUAAUCGCGGAUCAGCAUGCCGCGGUGAAUACGUUCCCGGGUCUUGUACACACCGCCCGUCACACCAUGGGAGUGGGCUUUACCAGAAGUAGUUAGCCUAACCGCAAGGAGGGCGAUUACCACGGUAGGGUUCAUGACUGGGGUGAAGUCGUAACAAGGUAACC